rnacentral:lncRNA from 1 species
CCUAGGAUCCGAAGGCCUUUACCACAACUUUUACUUCCAGGACCACCACCAGGCUGAUCUCUUGGUCCUCACCUAGGCCCACCUCCAGGUCUGCCCUGUGGGUCCCCUCCUCGAGGACCUCAACAAAGCUACCUCCUCCUGCACCUCCAGGUAUCCCUCCUUGUCAUCCUACAAUGAUGGACACAGCCUUGAUGCCUCCCCUUAGACUUGGCCCACAUGGCUCUUUCCCACAAGCUCCCUUGCCCAGUCUAGGAGUGAUGAGUGCCCCACUCAGCCUCAUUCAAUGGCCAAAGGCAGAUGAUUCAAGUGCAGCCACCAUCCAUAGAGAAGAAAGCUACAGAGACCACCAGUGACAAGGCCCAGAUCACCAAUCCCAAAGCAGAGGUCACACAGUUUGUGGCCGCUGCACUGAGGGUUCACCUCGAGAACAAGGAGGCUAUUACUUUUCCCCAAACAAGGUCAGAGGAUGACUCUGCUGUGCCUAUUGCUAAAGCAGCCCCCAGAUCUGGGCCUCCAAAGCAACCUCCAGAUCUGCCAGGCCGGCUUCCGGUCAGAAUACUGGUUUGUGGACAAAUAGGCUUUUGUUAAACUUAGAGUGAAGAACAAUGUCCACUGUCAGGUAAUUUCCAAGUCCAGUUCCAGGAGCCUCCUAUGUUUGCCUCCUGGAAUCCCACCACACAAGGUGCUUCUUUAUAAUAAACCAGGAUGUGAAGCACUGCCUCUAACCCCUGUUCCCUUGGACACCACCAUCUCCUUCCUCUCUUCCCCUCUCCAUUUUGGGAGUUCUGUCAGGGAGGUCUUAGUUACUUGUUUUGACUCACGUGCCAUAGCACUAGAGUAGAGAAUUUUGGAAUAAAAAGGUU